CAUAUUACACCCUUACUUAAAGUGUAGUUUUCAAAGUCGCCACAGCAGCACUUGGGAGCUUUUUAGACAUUCAGAGUCAAGGGUUCUACCCCAGACAUACCAAAUCAGAAUCUGCCUUUGAACCAGGCCCCUGGGUGAUUCCUAAACACAUUAUCAUGUGAAGAACACUGGUCUAUACCACAGGGAUCAACCUAAAUAAAUUUGGGCACAGGUGCAGAAGUUAAUUCCUCUAUUUAUUUCUUUUUUGCUCCUUUUUAGUAAGUACAGCCCUUAUUAAUUUGUGCUUUUCAAUGAAAAAUUAUUAUGUUAUAUGCUUUGGAUAAAUACUACUGCACUGUAAGUGCACACAUCUGCAUCAUUAUUGCCAAAAGAGAAUGCUCUGCUGAGGAAUGUACUGGGGUCUUGAACAUGAACAUUUUCUUCAUGGCAGCAGAGGGAGCACAAGAGUGCUUAAUAAAACCAGUGCACAGGUCUCUCCAAAUCAUGACGGAUUUUAAAUUGUAGUAUAUGUUUUCAUUGGAAGUAGCCUGUUAUGUAGUUCAAAAUGAAGCAAAUCAACUGAGCAAACACAGAUAGGCUUACCAGGUCAUAACAACUAUGUAACUGAACAGAUUGAAAGUUGAAUAAAAUAAAGAUAAACUUCUUUAGAGUUUUAGGCUUGAAUUCUUAAAAGAAAGUGGACCUCAAAAGUGAAAAAGAUGCCUUAGCUUUGCUCAAAAACAAAGAUAACACAACACGGAAUCAGGCAACCCUAAGAUGCCUUAGCUUUACUCAAAAACAAAGAUAACACAGAAUCAGGCACCCCUAAGAGUAGCUCCUGUUUAUCUAAAAACAGAGUCAGUUCACUGGACCCUACAUCAGGUAACUUAAUUUCAUUUGGUGUCAUACAUGUUGGUUAAGGUCCAUGCGCCUUUUGCUGUGUUUACACUCAGAAUAAUUUUAGGGGUUUCUCCUUAAUGCUUGCAGUGGUGAGGAUUUAGGUUUCAGUUAUACCUACGUAGUAUUUCAUACUUUUCACUACUCUUCCAUAUUGCAUCCUCAAAAACUCCCUUGAAGCAGAUAACAUACUUGGUAAAAGCCAAGUAUCCAAAAAGUUAUGGAACCACAUCGUGCUUUCAUAACAUUGAGUCAUUUAAUUGUUUCAGUAGUGCUUUGAGGUAUUCAUAAAUGAGGGAAAUUAUACAGACUAAAGAUCCAGAGCAUUUUUUACAGUUUUAAAGGUUUUUCAAAGUUAUUCUUAGAUAAUAUGUUUAUAUAUUUAUUAUUUAUUUACAAGCAGUCACUUAUUCUGCAUCUACAAUAGCUAAGACUUGAGAAUAUAAAAUUGAGUAAGACAUCUUAGUGUGCAAGGAGAUCAGAGCAGAACAGAUCUUACCUUUGGAAAACUGUUAAUUUUUACCACGUUGAAACACAAAGAUUCAUAGUUGAUGCGAUCCAGCACCUGCCAGAAUCAUAGCAAUCAGACUUCCAAAUAUGAGAAUCAAACAUUAGAAUCAUUAAAAAUUUGAGAGGCGGGGGGGGACAGUUGUACAACUCUUGAGCAAAAGUUGACUUAUAAGCUAAUAUUAAUAUUUCAAAUUUGUACGACAAACAAAUGUGAAGAUAUAAUGUGUAUUUUAUUUGAAUGUCUUCCCUAUCACAAAAUCAAAUGAGUAAGUUGAGUUGGUAAACAUUUAUUUAUUUUUAUCUUUUCUAAAAUGCUGAAAAGAAUUUUUCUCCCACACUAAAGAGGGUUUGCCAAGUUUCUGCCUGGAGCAAUUUGUUAUGGCUGUGUAAUAAAUCCCAGAAAGUUUGAAUUUUUAAUGGAAACACUGACAGAAUAAAGAGGGUGUAAUCCUACAUAUGUCAUUUAAAAAUCUGAGCAAACCAUAGUGUGCUUGCAAAACAAAUAUACUUUCCUUAGAUUGCACUCACAAAUAAGGCUGGGGAGACCAGAAAAGUAAAACAAACUCAAAACAAAAGUGAAAAACACUCACACAAUAGACUCUGAGGUCAGCUCACCACACCCAGACUAAAGUCACUGGGCUCUGUGCGUGUCACCAAGACUCUUAAAAGACAUACUUCUGAAUCAUCUUUCUUGACCCUCCACCAAACUGUAGCAAGACAGGCUUCCUGGGAAUGAAAAUGACAUUAGCAUUAGUCAAGAGUGAAAUUAAAGUCAUUGUACUCAAACAUCUGCCAACAGUCUGUGAUUUCAUAGUACCCACCUCUGAAAUAAGACUCUGUCUACAAUUAAAAACAAAGAAAAAAAGGUACUUUAGGUCUUCACUAUCCACUAUGUCUACUGAGCACUUGAAAUGUGUGAUUAGUCCAAAUUAACAUGUGCUGUAAGUGUGAAAUAUUCCUCAGAUUUUAAAAACUUGGUAUAAAAAAUACAUAUUUUACAUAUAAUAUAUAUUAUUCAUUAUUCUUAUAUUAUUAAUUUUAUGUAUUAUAUAUACACACAUGUAAUAUCUCCAUUUUUACAUUGAUUAAAUGUUGAAAAUAUUGGGUUAUUUUUUAAUAGUGUAUAUUGGGUUAAAAAAUAUAUCAUUAAACUUCA
rnacentral:lncRNA from 1 species